UAUUAAACCCGAUUGUAGGCGGCAGCUCCCGAUGCAAUCGGGUCUAAUGUCGAAAAGCGGGACUAUCG
rnacentral:misc_RNA from 1 species